CGGGACAGCGUCCUGGCUCCCAGGCCGGGCCACGUGGCUGGCGGCGAGCUCUGGCUCGGCGGGUGUUCUGCCACCGCCCUGAGUGCUGUGGGACUCUGACAGAGGUCAGUAAAGGGCCAAGUUCUCAGCUUGCGCCAGCUGGGAAUUGAUCGGCGACCCCUCCCCCACCGUGCACCCAGGAACUCUCACCCACACCCAGAGUUACUGUCGCAAAAGGAGUUCCGAAGUCACAUGCGUCAUCAGGCAGGCCCUGCCUUUGAUCUUAAAGGUGUGCAUGUUUAAGCGAAUUUGAGGCAUAUUACUGAACCCCCGUCCCCACAAUGGCCACCAGGGUCCUUCUGGAGACAGCCGGAGCUGUCCAUACAACCCUGGCAUCAGGCUCCUGGGCGACGUCCAGCUGAGAGACCAGGCGAGCCACACCUCCUCUCGGUCCUCAGUUUCGCAUCUGUAGAAGGGGGACAAAGAGGACCUACUCCCAAAGCAUUGUGAGGAUUCAGCCAGACGCCUAAUCCCUCAGCCACAAGACUGUCUGGAGAGUCUGAGACAAUGGCAUCUUGGCCAAGAGACCAGGCCAGCAAUGAUUUCGGGAAGGUGGGGGAGGGGACUCCCACUGCCUCCAUUGCCUCCACUCACCAGUGAUGAGGUUGUCC